UAUUAGCCAAGCUAUUACUGAGCGCCGUGCUUCAGUUCUGACACUUCAGUUUCACAUAUAAGAGAAAGAAGCUCCUAUCCGUGCUUCGUAGCAGACUGAUUAGAAGAUAGACUGUGGGAACUCCUUUUAUAGCCAAAUUCUGCAGCCAAACCCCGCAGCCAAAAAAAAUCAGAAUCCGAACGUGCAUCUUGAAAGCCAGGAUCCAUUCAGGGUAUUCCAAGAAUAGCUCUCAAGUUGCUGGAAAGUAGCACUCCCUACGCUGGCCUCCAAGUGGAUUUUAAAGCCGAGAGGAAGGGUUGAGUCAGCCUUGCCCGACCCGAUCAAGGUCUGCCGCAUGCAGGCGCCGCUCUAGGUACCGGGAACCUGGCAGUAAACGAAACGGAUGAAAGAUACAGGGACACCCAGGCACCGGUGGUACUCACACUAUGGCUCUCAGCUGGACCUCUGAGCCUCCAUUACAGCGCUCCCCUGCAUUGGCUCAGGCAUUGACUAGUGCCUGGCCUGCUGGAAGCUUUGUGUGCGGAAGUGCCUCCCUGCUGAUGGGCUCCUCCAAGUGAUCUGAUGCCCUCUUCGUUCUGUCUGUUAGCCCCCAAAUCGCAGAGACCUGCUUGCUUC
rnacentral:lncRNA from 1 species